UACAGAGGGGCCAAGCGUUGUCCGGAUUGACUGGGCGUAAAGCGCACGCAGGCGGUCGCGCGCGUGGGGUGUGAAAUCUGGCCGCUUAACGGCCAGGCGCCAUCCCAUACGGCGCGACUGGAGUGAUGCAGAGGUCGGUGGAAUUGCCGGUGUAGCGGUGAAAUGCGUGGAUAUCGGGAGGAAUACCGAUGGCGAAGGCAACUGCCUGGGCCUGAACUGACACUGUGACACGAAAGCGUGGGUAGCAAACAGG
rnacentral:rRNA from 1 species